CCGCGCCCCCCGGCCAUUGUCCCAGAGCCUGAGCAUCNCGCCCCUUGGGAGAAGCCGUGUGUGCAGGCAGGGCCCCUCCCUUGGCGCCCUCAGCCGCAUUGUUCAGGGCAGGCUGUGCUGAAGCCGGGGCGGCUGGGCAGGCCGACUUCGGGGCCUCGGGCGCAGGACUGAUAAGGCCGCCUGCCCCUGGGCCUCGGCGAUCUUAUCGGGGCUCUUCUGGAAGGGAAGGUNCGCCACCCGGAAGGAUGCCCGGCAGGACGGCUGACUUCCAGCAAGGGCUGAAAUGGAGCCCGAGGGAGCCGGUUACAAAUCCACAACAUGAGGAGAAACUGGCAGCUGCAGAACCCAAAGCACAACAGAGGGUGCUCUCUCCCGAAGACAGGAAGGGAAACCCCAUAAGAGAUCAGGGGAGACAAACUCACCAGCGGUACUUCCACCUCCAUCUCCGAGGCCUCCUCGCACCCCCCAAAGACGGAUGUCCUGGACACUGAAGCCGGCCGCAGCAAGAGGAGCUGCAGAGACACGGAUCGGGCACCCUCCCUUCUCCACGGCAGGGUUCCCUCGGCAGCACACGGACCAAAGCUCAUGCAGUCCAGACAGUCACAGGGGGAAGUACGUCUCUGAAUGUAUUUAGCACACAAACCUGUGCUGCUUCUCACUCCUGCAGGCUACUGUGGAUCAGGCACGGGCGCUCUGAGCAAGGCCUGCCAGUUCACCAAGAGCCACCAACUUUGUAUGGACUGAGCUCCCCCGGUUCUGCCAACCUCCCAGGCGAGCAUGGCAGGGGGAGGGCGAACCUUUCUGACCCAUUGCCCCUUUAAGCUGUCUUGCACCUAGAGCAUGUGUGUGUAUGUUUCUCUUGUCUUGUCUUCAGCAGAUCCCAGGACAGACACCAGUGAUCUCUGGUGAGCUACAAUGCUGCCCAGAACCCUCAAAUUCCCAGGCCCUCGGUAGAAGACCCAAGGCUGAGGCAGCCUUACUAACUAACCCCCAGAGGGGAUAAGAAAAAGGUUAUCUUUAUGAUUUUAUAGUUUUUACUCUUCAUCCUUUUACUACACUGUUCAUCACACUGAGACAUCUGUAGUUAUGCGAUAUAAAAAUUCUAAUAAACAUAAGCGUUGCCCACA
rnacentral:lncRNA from 1 species